ACUGGUGAGUAACGCGUGGACGACGCGCCCACCCGACGGGGACAGCCGGUAGAAAUACCGGAUAAUACCGGAUGAUCUCUUUUGGAACAAAGGCGAAAGAGGAAAGCGGCUCCGGCCGCGCGGGUGGAGCGGUCCGCGUCCUAUCAGCUAGUCGGCGGGGUGAAGGCCCGCCGAGGCGACGACGGGUAUCCGGCCUGAGAGGGUGGACGGACACAUUGGGACUGAGAUACGGCCCAGACUCCUACGGGAGGCAGCAGCUAAGAAUAUUCCGCAAUGGGGGGAACCCCGACGGAGCGACGCCGCGUGGACGACGAAGGCCGGAAGGUUGUAAAGUCCUUUUUUCCGCGAGGAAUAAGGCCGGGAGGGAAUGCCCGGCCGGUGACGGUAGCGGAGGAACAAGCACCGGCUAAUUACGUGCCAGCAGCCGCGGUAACACGUAAGGUGCGAGCGUUGUUCGGAAUCAUUGGGCGUAAAGGGCAUGCAGGCGGCCGUGCAAGCCCGGCGUGAAAUGGCGGGGCCCAACCCCGUCACUGCGCUGGGAACUGCAUGGCUAGGGUCGCCGAGGGGCAGCCGGAAUUCCAGGUGUAGGGGUGAAAUCUGUAGAUAUCUGGAAGAACACCGAUGGCGAAGGCAGGCUGCCAGCGGACGACCGACGCUGAGGUGCGAAGGCGCGGGGAGCGAACAGGAUUAGAUACCCUGGUAGUCCGCGCAGUCAAC
rnacentral:rRNA from 1 species